AAUAGAUACCCAGGUAGUCCACGCCCUAAACGAUGAAUGCUAGUCGUCGGAGUACUCGUUACUUCGGUGAUGCACUUAACAGAUUAAGCAUUCCGCCUGGGGAGUACGGUCGCAAGAUUAAAACUCAAAGGAAUAGACGGGGACCCGCACAAGUGGUGGAGCAUGUGGUUUAAUUCGAAGAUACACGAAGAACCUUACCUGGCCUUGACAUGGUAGGAACCCUUAAGAGAUUAGGGGGUGCUAGCUUGCUAGAACCUACACACAGGUGCUGCACGGCUGUCGUCAGCUCGUGUCGUGAGAUGUUGGGUUAAGUCCCGCAACGAGCGCAACCCUCGUCGUUAGUUGCUAACAGUUCGGCUGAGCACUCUAACGAGACUGCCUUCGCAAGGAGGAGGAAGGUGAGGACGACGUCAAGUCAUCAUGGCCCUUACGGCCAGGGCUACACACGUGCUACAAUGGGGCGUACAAAGAGCUGCAAUACCGCGAGGUGGAGCCAAUCUCUUAAAGCGUCUCUCAGUUCGGAUUGUUCUC
rnacentral:rRNA from 1 species